rnacentral:rRNA from 1 species
CCCUGCCUUUUGUACACACCGCCCGUCGCUCCUACCGAUUGAGUGUGUUGGUGAGGAGCUCGGAUUGGUGAAGGGUUUCCGCUAUCUGUUGCUGAGAAGUCCUCCGAACCGCCCCACUUAGAGGAAGG